AAUAGUUUUAGCAAGUGAGCAAGCACAAAAGCAGGAAAGGAAGGGGUUAACCUAAGCUAAAGCAACCCCUCCUUCGCCCACAUCUUCUUUAGGCUAAAGAACAUUUCCAAGGCGGUGUAACUGCUGAGCCUGGUGAGCUCCCAAUAUAUGUGGAAUGCACCCCAUAACACACAUAGAAGAUUGUGAUCACAAAGCUCCAGAUCCCAAACCUCUGAAAGGACCUCAACUUGAGGGUGGUCAUCAGGAACACAUUGAGAAAGACAGAUGCAGCAGCUGGCCAUGGCAUCAUAGGAACUGUCCACUCCGCAGAUGGCUCGGCCACAUCCUGCCGCGCUGUCCAGUGGAAGAUUGUGAUGACCGCCACUGAAACAGCGCCAAACAACGCCAUCCCCCAUCGCCACCGCCCGUCGAUCCUUCUCGAGAGGGAGAAGCCGAUUGAGCUCAGCGUUAGGAGCAACAGGAAUAGGAGGACAUGAAGCGGCCGGGUUGUGCCGAGCUUCGCAUACCGGUUGUAGAUGAGUGCGUUUGCCACCAGGUAGAAUGCCAGAAGGGUUCCGAUUGAUAUCAUCUCGAACACUAUCUGCAGCUCAGUGAAGAGGGCGAUUGUUGCCGUGCAUAAUCCUGGAUAUGGACAGGUCUCAACGGUAAGAACUAAGAAGGAUGCUAGAUAGUAGUAGUAUGUUAACAAGAAUGUAGCGUAUGUAUUGGAAGUACGAGAAGUAACGUGAAUGACCUUGUACAUGCUCUUUUACAUCUAUGAUUGACAUCCUUGCAAAA